rnacentral:rRNA from 1 species
UACGUAGGGACCAAGCGUUGUUCGGAUUUACUGGGCGUAAAGGGCGCGUAGGCGGUCAGCACAAGUCAGUUGUGAAAUCUCCGGGCUUAACUCGGAAAGGUCAACUGAUACUGUGCGACUAGAGUGCAGAAGGGGCAACUGGAAUUCUCGGUGUAGCGGUGAAGUGCGUAGAUAUCGAGAGGAACACCUGCGGCGAAGGCGGGUUGCUGGGCUGACACUGACGCUGAUGCGCGAAAGCCAGGGGAGCGAACGGG